rnacentral:rRNA from 1 species
UGCCAGCAGCCGCGGUAAUACGUAGGUGGCAAGCGUUGUCCGGAUUUAUUGGGCGUAAAGCGAGCGCAGGCGGUCUUUUAAGUCUGAUGUGAAAGCCCACGGCUUAACCGUGGAGGGUCAUUGGAAACUGGGAGACUUGAGUGCAGAAGAGGAAAGUGGAACUCCAUGUGUAGCGGUGGAAUGCGUAGAUAUAUGGAAGAACACCAGUGGCGAAGGCGGCUUUCUGGUCUGUAACUGACGCUGAGGCUCGAAAGCGUGGGGAGCAAACAGGAUUAGAUA